rnacentral:rRNA from 1 species
UGANCUUUANCUUGCUAAAGUGANUUAUUGGCGAACGGGUGAGAAAUAUAUANCUAACCUGCCCCUUAAGAGGGACAACAGUUGGAAACGACUGCUAAUACCUCAUACUCCUUUUUAUCNUAANAUAGAUUGGGAAAACUCCGGUGCUAAGGGAUGGGGCUUUACGGUAUCAAGUANUUGGUGGGGUAAGAGCCUACCAUGCCUAUGACGCCUAGCUGGUCUGANAGGAUGAUNAGCCACACUGGAACUGAGACACGGUCCANACUCCUACGGGAGGCAGCAGUGGGGAAUAUUGCACAAUGGGGGAAACCCUGAUGCAGCAACGCCGCGUGGAGGAUGACGCAUUUCGGUGUGUAAACUCCUUUUAUAUACCAAGAUAAUGACGGUAGUAUAUGAAUAANCACCGGCUAACUCCGUGCCAGCAGCCGCGGUAAUACGGAGGGUGCAAGCGUUACUCNGAAUCACUGGGCGUAAAGGAUGCAUACGCGGGUAAUCNNNUNGAAAGUGAAAUCCUAUGGCUUAACCAUAGAACUGCUCUCAAAACUGGUUACCUANAAUAUGGAAGAGGCAGAUGGAAUUAGUGGNGUANNNNNUAAAAAUCCGUAGAGAUCACUANGAAUACCGAUUGCGAAGGCGAUCUGCUGGGACAUUAUUGACGCUGAGCAUGANAGCGUGGGGAGCNAAACAGGAUUAGAUACCCCUGGUANUCCACGCCCUAAACGAU